UACGUAGGGUGCGAGCGUUUAAUCGGAAUUACUGGGCGUAAAGCGUGCGCAGGCGGUGAUGUAAGACAGAUGUGAAAUCCCCGGGCUCAACCUGGGAACUGCAUCUGUGACUGCAUCGCUGGAGUGCGGCAGAGGGGGAUGGAAUUCCGCGUGUAGCAGUGAAAUGCGUUAGAGAUGCGGAGGAACACCGAUGGCGAAGGCAGCCCCCUGGGCUAACACUGACGCUCAGGCACGAAAGCGUGGGGAGCAAACAGG
rnacentral:rRNA from 1 species